CCCACAUCACAAAACCCAUUUUGGAUAAAAAAAACUACAUAGAUUAAACUGCGAAUUACAAUAAAAGGCAAUUGAGUUUUGAACAAGAGGGGAGAAUCAUAUGAAAUUCAGGAAACUUAGCACGCAAACUACUACUGAUAAGCUACCACACAGCAUGUUGUAACUAUCAAAAACAGUUUGGGAAUCAGCACAACCAUUAUUGAAAUGUUACCAAUUAUUCGGAAACGAAAAUUCUGUUUGGUUGCCCUGUACUUGAAUCUUACCAACUCAACAAUCACCCCCUAAUCAUCUUAAAUUACAAAUUAAAUACAUAUUCCAAUGAUUGAAAUUAGUCCAACGAAGCCUCUCCAAUCAAGAGCACCAUCAAGUGUAACUAACUAAUGAAGAGUUUAACAACAUCCUAGCAGAAAAUUUUACACAAUAACAAAAACCCACAUCACAAUACCAGUUUUAGAUCAAAAACUUCACAGAUUACAGCCCAAAUUACAAGAAAAAAUCAAUUAGAUUCAAUACAGUGAGGGGAAAAUCACAUGAAACUCGUGAAUAACAAACUGGCAUAAUCCAACUAUCUCCUCAUAUUCGUAGCAUGCCAACUACUACUCAUGAGAUACCACAUAGUAUCAUUGACAAACUGGCAUAAUCAAACUAUCUCCCCAUAGUCUUAGCAUGCCAACUACUAUCAUAAGCUACCACACAGUCUGUUGUAACAGUAAAAACAACAACUCAGAAUUUAGCAUAACUACCAUUCGAAUAUUACCAAUUGUGCAGAAAGUAAAACCCUUUCUUAUUUGUCCUUGCACUUGAAUCUUACCAACCAAAGAAUCACCCCCUUAUCAUACUUAUAUUACAAAUCAAAGACACACUCCAGUGAAUCGAAUUAGUCCACCUCUCCAAUCUAAAGCAUCAUAGAGAAUAGCUAACUAAUGAAGAGUUUAACAACGUCCUACCACAAAAUUCGACCCAAAAACAAAAACCCCCAUCACAAGCCCCAUUUUGGAUCAAAAAUUUCACAGAAUAAGCCACAAAUUACAAGGUUAAACCCGANAAAAAAAAAAAAAAAACCCACAUCACAAUACCCAUUUUUGAUAAAAAAAAAUUCAUAGAUUACACCCCAAAUUACAAGAAAAAAAUUCAAUUAAAUACAAUACAGCGAGGGGAGAAUCACAUGAAACUCGUGAAGAACAAACCGGCAUAAUCCAACUAUCUCCUCACAAUCUUAGGACGCCACCAACUGCUCAUAAUCUCCCACACGGCAUGUUGUAACAGUAAAAAAAAUUAGAAAAAAAAACAACAACUCAGAAAUUAGCACAACUAUCAUUCAAAUAUUACAAAUGAUGCGGAUAUCAAAACCUGUUAUAAUUGCUCUGCACUUGAAGCUCAGUGAGUAACUAAACAAUCGCCCCCAAAUCAUACUUAAUUACACAUCAAAAUACACAUUCCAAAGAUUCAAAUUACUCCAGAGAAACCUCCCGAAUCUAAAAUCUCAUCCAGUAUAGCUAACUAACGAACGAUUCAACAACAUCCUACCUCAAAAUUCGACCCAAAAACAAAAACCCCCAUCACAAACCCCAUUUUGGAUCAAAAAUUUCACAGAAUAAGCCACAAAUUACAAGGUUAAACCCGAGUUGGAUCAUAAAUUUCACAGAUUAAGCCACAAAUUACAGGAUAAAAAAAACGAUCAGAUUAUCAACAGCGAGGGGGGAAUCCGCACAAACUCACGAGAUUGGGGCGAAA
rnacentral:lncRNA from 1 species